UACGUAGGGUGCAAGCGUUAAUCGGAAUUACUGGGCGUAAAGCGUGCGCAGGCGGUUUUGUAAGUCAGAUGUGAAAUCCCCGGGCUUAACCUGGGAACUGCGUUUGAAACUACAAGGCUAGAGUGUGACAGAGGGGGGUGGAAUUCCACGUGUAGCAGUGAAAUGCGUAGAGAUGUGGAGGAACACCGAUGGCGAAGGCAGCCCCCUGGGUUAACACUGACGCUCAGGCACGAAAGCAUGGGGAGCGAACGGG
rnacentral:rRNA from 1 species